AUUGUUUUUUUUUAAAAAUUAAAAAUUAAUUUAAAAAUGAAAAAGUUUUUAUAUAUUGAUGGGACAAGAAGACCCUAUGAAUCUUAAUUAUUUUUAAAAUUAAAAAUUAUUUUAAUAUAAUUUAAUUGGGGCGAUUAAAAAAGAAUAUUUAUCUUUAUUUUGAAUUUAUUUUUUAAAUAUGGGAAAAGAUACUCUAGGGAUAACAGCGUUAUUAUUUUGGAUAGUUCAUAUUGAUAAAAUAGUUUGCGACCUCGAUGUUGAAUUAAUGAACCUUUUAAAUGAAGUUAUUUAGAAAGGUAGAUUGUUCCUCUAUUAAAUCAUUACUUGAUCUGAGUUCACACCGGAC
rnacentral:rRNA from 1 species